CCUCUACGGAAUGCAGCCUAUGAGAGUAAACAUGCUUCCACACCUGUGGCUUAUUUAUAAUGGAGAAAUCUACAACCACAAAAAGGUCGGCUUCCAGCACGGCUUCAACUUUCAGACGCAGUGUGAUGGGGAGGUGAUUCUUCACCUCUACCAUGAAGGUGGGGCCGAAUACGCAGCGGCGAGGCUGGACGGUGUAUUCGCCUUCUGCAUUUUAGACACAGAGAGAGAAGCAGGUUCAUAUCGGCCGUGACACAUACGGCGUCAGACCUGCCUUCAAGCUACUGUCCGAUGACGGAGUGUUAGCCAUCUGCUCGGAGGCAAAAGGUCUAGUGCAUCUUACGGAAUCAAUGGAGAAUGCUCACCUGUCGAAGCUCACUCCCUUCCUCCAGGACACAUUGAGAGCUAUCAAA